GUGGGCCCUCGAAAUCCUGUGGCGGGAUCAUUCAGUUGUUGAGCGAACUUGUUCGUCGCCGGAAGAGUGAAACCGAAGGUUCCCGCGACGGGGCCGUUCUGGCGACGCGACGGGAACGAUCCGACGCAUUUGUUUCCCGCCCGAGAGGACGCCGCGACCGGUUGGAGGACGACCUUAAGGGCUCGAGAGCCGGCAGGUGGCCGGUGGCUGGGGCUUUUAGUCUCGGCCGCCGGUUGUUAGCCUUCUCGCCACACGGGACGUCCGCCGACCGUGGCAAUAGAGAGGCCUCGUUGGGCUUCGUCGUCUCCUCCCUUAAAGGCUGCGGGUGAAGAGACGCGGCAGGGGCUCGACGCGGCGUGGGCGCACAGACUCCCUCUGUGGCCACGCGCCGUGCUCGUCCCCGUUGGUUGCGUAUGCCCCGUGGGAGUGAUUGACGGUUUGCGGCGAGUAGAUCGGUCACCCACCCGACCCGUCUUGAAACACGGACCAAGGAGUAUAACAUGUGUGCGAGUCAAUGGGUCUCGAGUAAGCCCAGAGGCGCAAUGAAAGCGAAGGCAAGGAGGACUCCUGCCGUGUCGAGAUCCCUGCACCUUUGCGUGCGGGGCGCAUCGACGACCCGCUCCUGUCCGCUCGCGGAUGGGGCGGAGUCCGAGCACACACGUUGUGACCCGAAAGAUGGUGAUCUAUGCCCGGACAGGACGAAGUCAGAGGAAACUCUGAUGGAGGUCCGUAGCGGUUCUGACGUGCAAAUCGAUCGUCAGAUCUGGGUC
rnacentral:rRNA from 1 species